rnacentral:rRNA from 1 species
CCUACGGGAGGCUGCAGUCGAGGAUCUUCGUCAAUGGGCGCAAGCCUGAACGAGCGACGCCGCGUGCGCGAUGAAGGCCUUCGGGUUGUAAAGCGCGAAAGUGGGGAUAAAGCCGAAAGGUUGAUAGAUCCACAGUAAGGACGGGCUAAGUUCGUGCCAGCAGCCGCGGUAAGACGAACUGUCCUAACGUUGUUCGGAAUCACUGGGCUUAAAGGGCGCGUAGGCGGUCCGACAAGUCAGGGGUGAAAUCCUGCAGCUUAACUGCAGAAGUGCCUUUGAUACUGUCGGUCUGGAGGGAGAUAGGGGUGUGCGGAACUUCCAGUGGAGCGGUGAAAUGCGUUGAUAUUGGAAGGAACGCCGGAGGCGAAAGCGGCGCACUGGAUCUCUUCUGACGCUGAGGCGCGAAAGCUAGGGGAGCAAACGGGAUUAGAUACCCGUGU